rnacentral:rRNA from 1 species
UACGGAGGGUGCAAGCGUUAAUCGGAAUUACUGGGCGUAAAGCGCGCGUAGGCGGCUUGUUAAGUCGAAUGUGAAAUCCCCGGGCUCAACCUGGGAACUGCAUCCGAUACUGGCUGGCUAGAGUGUGGUAGAGGGAAGUGGAAUUCCAGGUGUAGCAGUGAAUGCGUAGAUAUGUGGAGGAAUACCGAUGGCGAAGGCAGCCCCCUGGGAUAACACUGACGCUCAUGCACGAAAGCGUGGGGAGCAAACAGGAUUAGAUACCCGAGUAGU